GACGAACGCUGGCGGCGUGCUUAACACAUGCAAGUCGAACGGAAAGGCCCUGCUUUUGUGGGGUGCUCGAGUGGCGAACGGGUGAGUAACACGUGAGUAACCUUCCCUUUACUUUGGGAUAACUUCAGGAAACUGGGGCUAAUACCGGCUAGGAGCUCCUGCUGCAUGGUGGGGGUUGGAAAGUUUCGGCGGUUGGGGAUGGACUCGCGGCUUAUCAGCUUGUUGGUGGGGUAGUGGCUUACCAAGGCUUUGACGGGUAGCCGGCCUGAGAGGGUGACCGGCCACAUUGGGACUGAGAUACGGCCCAGACUCCUACGGGAGGCAGCAGUGGGGAAUAUUGCACAAUGGGCGGAAGCCUGAUGCAGCAACGCCGCGUGCGGGAUGACGGCCUUCGGGUUGUAAACCGCUUUCGCCUGUGACGAAGCGUGAGUGACGGUAAUGGGUAAAGAAGCACCGGCUAACUACGUG
rnacentral:rRNA from 1 species